AAAAGACAAGGGAAGUAUAGCGCAUAGGUUGCUGUGAGGUAGAAAGUUGAUUACUUUUCCUGGGUCUCAGCUUUCUGAAAAUGUAGAAACAAAAUUAGAUGGUGAGUUAUGAGCUGAAGGAGAGGAUGACUCAGCAGCAAUGUGCCAGCUCCAUAGUGGCUUCUCCACCAAGCUGGAGAAGGAUUUGCAGCAAUCGUUUCAGAACUAACUGGGCACAUCUAUAGGAUGAAGAAACUAAGGCAACAAGCAGGAUACAUCCUGCUGAGUUCCCUGGGAGGAGACCUCUCUUCUAUAAUCAAACUCAACAGAAACAGGCCCUUGCUUCCGAGACAUCAAACGUAAAUAGGCUCCUCUUCUGCAGAAAAUAAAUAAGCAGAUAUCAAAGAUUUGUAGAAAUUUUGAUUAAGACACUUUCUCAGUCUUUUCACAUAGCAGACACUGUACUACUGACGUGCUGUAGCUAGAAUUGGGCCUGUGGACUUUUAUCUCUGCCUUCGAAUUCAGUUAUAUUCACAUUAAUUUGGAUACUCAAUAAAAAAUUA